rnacentral:piRNA from 1 species
AUGUCCGCUGGCUGACCCGAGUGAG